rnacentral:rRNA from 1 species
AUGAACGCUGGCGGCGUGCCUCAUACAUGCCAGUCGCGCGAACAGACGAGGAGCUUGCUCCUCUGACGUUAGCGGCGGACGGGUGAGUAACACGUGGAUAACCUACCUAUAAGACUGGGAUAACUUCGGGAAACCGGAGCUAAUACCGGAUAACAUGUUGAACCGCAUGGUUCAACAGUGAAAGACGGUUUUGCUGUCACUUAUAGAUGGAUCCGCGCCGCAUUAGCUAGUUGGUAAGGUAACGGCUUACCAAGGCAACGAUGCGUAGCCGACCUGAGAGGGUGAUCGGCCACACUGGAACUGAGACACGGUCCAGACUCCUACGGGAGGCAGCAGUAGGGAAUCUUCCGCAAUGGGCGAAAGCCUGACGGAGCAACGCCGCGUGAGUGAAGAAGGUCUUCGGAUCGUAAAACUCUGUUAUUAGGGAAGAACAAAUGUGUAAGUAACUAUGCACGUCUUGACGGUACCUAAUCAGAAAGCCACGGCUAACUACGUG